rnacentral:rRNA from 1 species
UACGAAGGGUGCAAGCGUUAAUCGGAAUUACUGGGCGUAAAGGGUGCGUAGGCGGUUCGUUAAGUCUGUCGUGAAAUCCCCGGGCUCAACCUGGGAAUGGCGAUGGAUACUGGCGAGCUAGAGUGUGUCAGAGGAUGGUGGAAUUCCCGGUAUAGCGGUGAAAUGCGUAGAGAUCGGGAGGAACAUCAGUGGCGAAGGCGGCCAUCUGGGACAACACUGACGCUGAAGCACGAAAGCGUGGGGAGCAAACAGG